rnacentral:rRNA from 1 species
GGAUCACAGGUUGACCUCGAUCAGGUAGG